rnacentral:tRNA from 1 species
UUCCCAUGCCGAGAAUCGAUCCCGGGCCGCGUGGGUAGAAACCACGAAUCCUAAUCACUGGACCACAUGGGA